AUUGAACGCUGGCGGAAUGCUUUACACAUGCAAGUCGAACGGCAGCACGGGUGCUUGCACCUGGUGGCGAGUGGCGAACGGGUGAGUAAUGUAUCGGAACGUAUCCAAUAAUGGGGGAUAACUAAUCGAAAGGUUGGCUAAUACCGCAUACGCCCUACGGGGGAAAGCAGGGGAUCUUCGGACCUUGCGUUAAUGGAGCGGCCGAUAUCUGAUUAGCUAGUUGGUGAGGUAAAGGCUCACCAAGGCGACGAUCAGUAGCUGGUCUGAGAGGACGACCAGCCACACUGGAACUGAGACACGGGCCAGACUCCUACGGGAGGCAGCAGUGGGGAAUUUUGGACAAUGGGGGCAACCCUGAUCCAGCCAUUCCGCGUGAGUGAAGAAGGCCUUCGGGUUGUAAAGCUCUUUCGCAAGGGAAGAAACGAUACAGUCUAAUAAACUGUGUUAAUGACGGUACCUUGAUAAGAAGCACCGGCUAACUACGUGCCAGCAGCCGCGGUAA
rnacentral:rRNA from 1 species